UACAGAGGUCUCAAGCGUUGUUCGGAUUCAUUGGGCGUAAAGGGUGCGUAGGUGGCGGGGUAAGUCAGGUGUGAAAUCUCGGGGCUCAACCCCGAAACUGCACUUGAUACUGCCUUGCUCGAGUACUGGAGAGGAGAUUGGAAUUUACGGUGUAGCAGUGAAAUGCGUAGAUAUCGUAAGGAAGACCAGUGGCGAAGGCGAAUCUCUGGACAGUUACUGACACUGAGGCCCGAAGGCCAGGGGAGCAAACGGG
rnacentral:rRNA from 1 species